UGAUUUCGCACGCCAAGGAUACAGCUACAGCCAGACCCCAGACGAAGCGAAAGUUGGAAGCAGCUACAUCACUAGCGGGUAUCCAGAUGAAGCAAGGAGUGUUCAUGCUGUCCGUGUAUGCUCCUCGCAUUUCACCGAUAAUGUGUACCUGGAUGAGAACAUCAUGGAAGUGCAACUUGGAUUGACACAAAAAAGGAACGAAUUGAAACUUGACGCCGUUCCGACAGUGUUCCACGAACAAAGCGAGCCAGCAACUUCGACACUGCAGGCAGUUCGACAGGGUCAAGCGCAAGUGAAGGACCAGGUGCUGCUGAUCAAGUCCCAUCCAUCCAUGAAACGGCAUCAAACAAUGUACGUGUGUGCACGGCAAUUUUGCUGAGAGACCUGCUUUUUACACUAAUGCCUUUACGACGCCUCUGACAAAUUAGGAUCUUCCAGAACAGUGCUUUCUUCAUCCAAGUUCAAGAAGUAAAGAGAAUGACUUCAUGGCUUCUACUGACAUCUCACAGCUACAUGCCAAGACAAAAUAACU